rnacentral:lncRNA from 1 species
AAGACAGGAUUCACAAUCACUGACUUCGAGGAUUUCCUCUUGAGUCAACCUGUUUAUUCUGUUCUUGUUUAUAUGACCUAGCCUACAGUGCCAUAAAUAGAUAUCUGAUAUACUAUCUAAUCUAGGGUGCUUGCCAGUAGAAUAGACUCUUAUCAGGCUUGAUCUUUCUGGUCUGGCCCUGCACAGAUGUCCCAGCCUAAACUUGCACUUUCUUCACUUUCUU